AUACUAGCUACAGUGGUACAUAUUCUAAAAUUGGAAUGAUACAGAGUAGAUUAGCAUGGCCCUUGUGCAAGGACGACACGCAAAUUCAUGAAGUGUUCCAUUUAUAA
rnacentral:snRNA from 1 species